rnacentral:rRNA from 1 species
GAUGAACGCUGGCGGCGUGCCUAAUACAUGCAAGUCGAGCGAACGGACGAGAAGCUUGCUUCUCUGAUGUUAGCGGCGGACGGGUGAGUAACACGUGGAUAACCUACCUAUAAGACUGGGAUAACUUCGGGAAACCGUAGCUAAUACCGGAUAAUAUUUUGAACCGCAUGGUUCAAAAGUGAAAGACGGUCUUGCUGUCACUUAUAGAUGGAUCCGCGCUGCAUUAGCUAGUUGGUAAGGUAACGGCUUACCAAGGCAACGAUGCAUAGCCCACCUGAGAGGGUUGUUGGGCAACCCGGAAAUGAGAACCGGUCCCAGACCCGAACGGAAGCCGCCAUAGGGAAACCUCCGGCAAGGGGCAAAGGCUGAACGGAGCAAGGCGGGGGAGGGAAGAAAGUUCUCGGGAUCGUAAACCCUUUUAAUAGGGGAGAAACAAAGGGUUAAUAACCGGGCCAAUCUUGACGGUACCUUAUCAAAAAGCCAAGGGUAACUACGUG